rnacentral:tRNA from 1 species
GGGGAUGUGGCUCAGUGGUAGAGCUCUUGCCUGACAUGCAUGAGGCCCUGCAUUUGAUCCCCA